rnacentral:rRNA from 1 species
GACGAACGCUGGCGGCGUGCUUAACACAUGCAAGUCGAACGGAAAGGCCCUGCUUUUGUGGGGUGCUCGAGUGGCGAACGGGUGAGUAACCCGGGAGUAACCUGCCCUUGACUUUGGGAUAACUUCAGGAAACUGGGGCUAAUACCGGAUAGGAGCUCCUGCUGCAUGGUGGGGGUUGGAAAGUUUCGGUGGUUGGGGCUGGACUCGGGGCUUAUCAGCUUGUUGGUGGGGUAGUGGCUUACCAAGGCUUUGGCGGGUAGCCGGCCUGGGAGGGUGACCGGCCACAUUGGGACUGAGGUACGGCCCAGAGUCCAACGGGGGGCAGCAGGCGGGAAUAUUACACAAUGGGCGGAAGCCUGAGGCAGCGACGCCGCGUGCGUGAUGACGGCCUUCGGGUUGGAAAGCGCUUUCGCCUGUGACGAAGCGGGAGUGACGGUAAUGGGUAAAGAAGCACCGGCUAACUACGUG